UAAUUCGAAGAAACUUCAGACAAGAUUACUACAACCACUACAUUCUGCGUGGCGAGAUGAAGAUUGUAUACAUUUUCGCUUUUCUGUGCAUCUGUGGACUUUUUAUUGGCUGUAUAGCGUAUGACUACUAUACUAUAGGUGACGUAUUCAAUGAGGUCAAAGACAACCAAGAUAUGAUCAAGGAAGUACUAGAUGGUCUUGAGGAAAUAAAGGCUUGUUGUUGUGAAUCCGAUGGAAGCGAUCGUAAAUAAAGACAAUGGCAGCUUCACGUUAGAAAAGGUCAUAUUCCAAAUUUCGGACUAACAAAACAGAACAGAACAGAUAUUAUAUUUAGCCUUAUGCAUAUAUAGCACAUUGAAAUAAAUCAUUAUAUAUAUAUACUGCAUAUGAAUUAUAGGAAUACAAUCCAUUUAGCUAUAUAAGCCGCGCCACGAGAAAACCAGCAUAGUGCGUUUGCGACCAGUCUGGUCUGGAUCCAUGCUGUUCGCUUUCAAAGCCUGUUGCAAUUAGAGAAUGUGUUAGCGAACAGCAUGGAUCCUGACCAGACUGCGCGGGUGGUCUGGAUCCAUGCUGGUCGCAAACGCACUAUGUUGGUUUUCUCAUGGUACGGCUCAUAUAUAUUAUUGUUAAUUUUCUGUGCAUUUAAAGUCUUAAUCGUGGUAUACUAACCGAUAAGUGUAAAAACAUACAAAGAAUUAAUUUGCACAAAUUAGGAUAUAAAACUAAUCUAAAAGAGCUAUGAGAGGGAAUAACUAUACACAUUUUAAUUUACAAUACUUAAAGUCUCAUACAAGACACGCGCUUUAAUCAAAUAUAUAUGCUGUGCUUUUUUUAUCGUAUUAAUUGUAAAUUUUAGGGGGAAGUAACGAUUAAAGUAUAAACAAGGCGUGCGUAACAUUUCUUCUUACGCAGCACUUGAUAUUUUGCCGGCACCUUUUAUAUUAUAGACAGCGCAUUCCUGAGUAUCCAAAUUUUUAAUAAAGUCGUUAUUCAUUUUACAACCUCAUCCCGUUUUUUUAGAGGGUCACAAAAACUGAUAUGAAAUCUGGUUUUAUUAAAGAUGCAAGUAUCCUAAGGGAAGGGACGUGCAUAUAUCUAUUAAAAUGGUGCGUUCUGUAGUUGUACAUGGCUAGCUGAAACAUGUAUCUUUCACGCAGAUUCUACAUAUCUGAAAUGAGAAUUCCUCUGCUAUUAGGGUAGUCCGUCUCAGAGUACCUGUAUUAUUACUACCCCUUGAAAACGCACACGAGUUUAUACCCUUAUCACUCCCUAUAGAUAAGCAAUUAAAAAUGAAAUUACAAAAAAGAAAAAAGAAUUUCAGAGACUGUAAGUCCUAUAUAAUUUAGAAAAUACGUUUACUACAUUUGGUUCAUUCACUGCAACGCAAGUUACCUUGCUGGGUCAGGAAUUGAAGACAAUAUACAGUUAGUAAUAUUAAGAUAUUAUUUGACAGCUGACAUGUCCUUUGUAACCUACUUCAAUUACUCCGAUUAAUUCGCUAAUGGAUAUGAAUAUACCUAAUGUAUAAAACAUGUGAACAAUAUAAUGUUACAAGAUUGUAUACUAACAAGAAAUCGAAGUCAAAGCAAACACCCAUUACACUUUUUUAAGUUUUAACCAUGUAUGUUGUUGUUGUUGUAUUCAAUGUGUUGUCGGUAAAAUUAUGUUUAGAUAAAUACGUUAACAAAGUCUGUACAAUAACAGGUUGCAACAAUUGAAUGCCGAAAUAGAAUAUUCGACGAGGGCAAACAUACAGAUUAUUUUCAUGUUUUUAUGUACCAAGAAUACUUAAAUACUUUUAAUAUUAAAAAGUUUAGAGUAAAAGUUUAGUGAUUUAUACAGCAAAAUGUUUUGAAAAAAGAGAUGCUAUUUUAAUGAUUUCAAUCAUCUCCCAUUACUUGUAUAUGAUAUAUUGUUGUUCUGCAUAUAAAUACUAAUAUAGCCCUUCUACGAAUAAAUUCUCUCUCUCUA